rnacentral:rRNA from 1 species
UACGGAGGGGGCUAGCGUUGUUCGGAAUUACUGGGCGUAAAGCGCACGUAGGCGGCUUUGUAAGUUAGAGGUGAAAGCCCGGGGCUCAACUCCGGAAUUGCCUUUAAGACUGCAUCGCUAGAAUUGUGGAGAGGUAAGUGGAAUUCCGAGUGUAGAGGUGAAAUUCGUAGAUAUUGGGAGGAACACCAGUGGCGAAGGCGACUCACUGGCCCGAUACUGACGCUGAGGCGCGAAAGCGUGGGGAGCAAACAGG